rnacentral:lncRNA from 1 species
CUUAAACUCUGGUGAAAACAGAAAAUUAUUGUCAGUGAACAUCUACUAAAUACAGACAGGUCCUGGACUUUGGUUUCUCUUCUGGUAAAGUGAGAACAGUGUCUCCCAUUAGCCAAAAUAAGCAGAGGUCAGUGAAAUAACAAUGUAACACCAAGACAUGGUGCACUUCUCAGGUGAAAACUUUUAUGCUGGGUCUUCUUUAAAGAAGGAGUACUCGAGGACUCUGUGAAUUGAAAACGAACAUCUGUUUGAACCUGUUUUUGUGUAAAGCCAGGAUCCUGGGAAGGAGUGGGAUGGAGAGAAGUGAUCAAGAGAACUGGACUGAGAGUGGAAAGCACAGAUGAAAAACCAGAGCCUCGGUAAACUGCUAGGUGAUUAUCUGAAGCGGGUUCUCAAUUAAUGG